AACCAUAGAAACCUGCGGAGUACCUGCGGAGGGAUCAUCAAAGAAUUAUUCACACAGAAAAGAUUGGAGUGGGGGGGGGGGAGGGGGUUGGAGUGAGGGAUUCAUCUCUUGCUCUCUCUCUCUCUCUCUCUUUUCCUCUAGUCUUUUCUGAACAAACAAACAUACAUGACUAGGAAAAACAAAUUGAUUUGGUUGGCAAACAAGACAAGAAGUUCUUGGCUGAUAAGUAGCAUUGAUUUG
rnacentral:misc_RNA from 1 species